rnacentral:lncRNA from 1 species
CGACAGUCUGGGUUAGGGUAAGGGUUUACCUGACCAAGGGGGUAACGACAGAGGAGGAUGAGGACUGCAGAUGGUAAGGGUCGAGGUUAAGGGGAUCAAGAUGGUGGUCGAUAGGUUGAGGGUCGGUGUGGGUAAGGGUUGGGGUUUGGUCUACGAGGGUGGUGACAGCAAAGGGUUAGGGCUGAGGUUAUGGUUGGUGUUAGGGUUUUGGAGAUGAAGGUCGGG